rnacentral:rRNA from 1 species
GACGAACCGUGCGAACGUUGUUCGGAAUCACUGGGCAUAAAGGGCGCGUAGGCGGCUUAUCAAGUCAGGGGUGAAAUCCGGCAGCUCAACUGUCGAAGUGCCUUUGAUACUGAUGAGCUCGAGGGAGGUAGGGGUAUGCGGAACUUCCGGUGGAGCGGUGAAAUGCGUUGAUAUCGGAAGGAACGCCGGUGGCGAAAGCGGCGUACUGGACCUCUUCUGACGCUGAGGCGCGAAAGCUAGGGUAGCAAACGGG